ACUCAAAGGAAUUGACGGGGACCCGCACAAGCGGUGGAGCAUGUGGUUUAAUUCGAUGCAACGCGAAGAACCUUACCUGGUCUUGACAUCCUGCGAUCUUUCUAGAGAUAGAUUGGUGCCUUCGGGAACGCAGUGACAGGUGCUGCACGGCUGUCGUCAGCUCGUGUUGUGAAAUGUUGGGUUAAGUCCCGCAACGAGCGCAACCCCUAUUGAUAGUUACCAUCAUUAAGUUGGGUACUCUAUUGAGACUGCCGCUGACAAGGCGGAGGAAGGUGGGGACGACGUCAAGUCAUCAUGGCCUUUACGACCAGGGCUACACACGUGCUACAAUGGGUAUUACAGAGGGCUGCGAAGGAGCGAUCUGGAGCGAAACUCAAAAAGGUACUCUUAGUCCGGAUUGCAGUCUGCAACUCGACUGCAUGAAGUCGGAAUCGCUAGUAAUCGCAGGUCAGAAUACUGCGGUGAAUACGUUCUCGGGUCUUGUACACACCGCCCGUCACACCAUGGGAGUGGGUUGCUCCAGAAGUAGAUAGCUUAACGAAUGGGCGUUUACCACGGAAUGAUUCAUGACUGGGGUGAAGUCGUAACAAGGUAGCCGUA
rnacentral:rRNA from 1 species